CGGUCCAUCCUAAUACCUGGAGGUUGGUUCUGUACCUGCUGGGUUUCGCUUGUGGACCAGAUUAACUUAGAGAAGCUUUUUCUUGAAAUGAGUUUUGUAUACUCUCAUUGUACAAGCCUCUCUAGACAUCU